rnacentral:rRNA from 1 species
AGAGUUUGAUCCUGGCUCAGAAUCAACGCUGGCGGCGCGCUUAACACAUGCAAGUCGAGCGAGAAAGGGGAGCAAUCCCUGAGUAAAGCGGCGUACGGGUGAGUAACACGUGGGUAAUCUGCCUUCUAGUGUGGAAUAACCCUGGGAAACCGGGGCUAAUACCGCAUAAGCCUGUGAAGGGAAAGCGAGCAAUCGCGCUAGAAGAGGAGCCCGCGGCCGAUUAGCUAGUUGGUGAGGUAACGGCCCACCAAGGCGAUGAUCGGUAGCCGGCCUGAGAGGGCACACGGCCACACUGGCACUGAAACACGGGCCAGACUCCUACGGGAGGCAGCAGUGGGGAAUCUUGCACAAUGGAGGCAACUCUGAUGCAGCGACGCCGCGUGAGCGAUGAAGCCCUUCGGGGUGUAAAGCUCUUUCGGCAGGGACGAUAAUGACGGUACCUGAAGAAGAAGCUGCGGCUAACUACGUGCCAGCAGCCGCGGUAAUACGUAGGCAGCGAGCGUUGUUCGGAAUUACUGGGCGUAAAGAGUGUGUAGGCGGUGCUCUAAGUUCGGUGUGAAAUCUCCCGGCUUAACUGGGAGGGUGCGCCGGAAACUGGAAUGCUCGAGCGUGGGAGAGGAAAGCGGAAUUCCUGGUGUAGCGGUGAAAUGCGUAGAUAUCAGGAGGAACACCUGCGGUGUAGACGGCUUUCUGGACCAUUGCUGACGCUGAGACACGAAAGCGUGGGUAGCAAACAGGAUUAGAUACCCUGGUAGUCCACGCCCUAAACGAUGCAUACUUGGUGUCGGCCAUUCAGUUGGUCGGUGCCGGAGCUAACGCGUUAAGUAUGCCGCCUGGGGAGUACGGUCGCAAGGCUGAAACUCAAAGGAAUUGGCGGGGGCCCGCACAAGCAGCGGAGCGUGUGGUUUAAUUCGAUGCAACGCG